rnacentral:rRNA from 1 species
UACGUAGGGGGCAAGCGUUGUCCGGAAUCAUUGGGCGUAAAGCGCUUGUAGGCGGCUUGUUAAGUCGCGUGUGAAAUCUCCCGGCUCAACCGGGAAAGUGCGCGCGAAACUGGCGAGCUUGAGUGCUGGAGAGGGUGGCGGAAUUCCCGGUGUAGAGGUGAAAUUCGUAGAUAUUCGGAAGAACACCAGUGGCGAAGGCGGCUCACUGGCCCGGUACUGACGCUGAGGUGCGAAAGCGUGGGGAGCAAACAGG